CUCCUACCUUUAUGUCUUAUAAUUAUUAAUUAAUCAAGAAUUUUUGCUUUUAUAUGUUUUAGUUAGUUAUAUGUGCAUUUUUUCAUUGAUUGUGAAUGUUAGUCCAAUUCACAACUUGAAAACUAAACCUUAGACUUUCUGAUUUACCAUUUAAAUCCUAAUUCAACUACCAAGACCUAUUCUAUUAAGUCAAAAUAUUGACCUAUAUUCUGUAAUUCCAAUUUGUCGCUUCCACCCUUUUCUAUGUUUCACUUGCCUUUCUAGUUAACUCUUGUGUUUGCAAUUGUAAGACCUUUGACUUCAUUAUUGAAGCAGCAUUGACUAGCCCCACUAAUGCCCACAACCAUCUUUCGUUAUUAUUCUUGGUUCUGUUUUGUUUGUUCUCCUUCUAAGUACAUAACCAAUGGAGAACUUCUACUUUCAAUGCAAUCACAACAACACCCACAAUGCUUUUUUUCUUGCAUACUCUAGUGGUUUCAGAAUACUCAAGUAAUUUGAUCACCACCAAUAAGUCCCUUCAAAUAAAAUCUUGCCAUCAUUACAAAUUUAUCACCAUUUGAUGGAAAUCAUGUAUCUUUACUAAGAAAAAAAAAGGAUUUCACACACUGAAUACAUUGUAUAACUUGCACAACUUUGAGGGUCUAUUUGCACAUCUCAAUGCCCAAAGGCCCUAAUUCUCUCACAAACGACAAGAUUUCCCUCUUCUUCUUUUUAGGAACCAUGCCUUAAAUCUUCAAAUAGUCUUGUCUCAAUUGACAACCUCCCUCAUUUUAAGAAUUAACAUUUACUAACAUGCUCAAGCCUUAUGAACACUUAACAAUUUUUUUCACUAUGGACAGGUUUUUUGGGAGCUUUCUUUUUAAGUAUAUAACACAAGUAUCCUUUGUUGGAGACAAUCUUUCUUGAGCUGAAUAGGACCACUAUAUGCAGGAAAGUUUUCCUCCAAUUAUUUCAAGCACUUGCAUGCACGAUGUCUAAUGCCAAGCAAUAUGGUGAAGAACUUGUCGGUAAAUGGAUCAAAGUUUGGUGGCCACUGGAUCAAAUGUUUCAUGAGGGUGUUAUCAAUGACUUUUAUGAUGCUCCUCAUAACAUGCACAAGAUUGUGUAUGAUGAUGGUAUUGCAAAAUGGGUAUCUCUUAAAGAGGAAAGGUGAAAACCCAUCAAAACUAGUGAUAAUUUAGACAAAGUGAGUCUUUACCUUAACUUUUGUAUAUUAAACUUUUUUACAUUUAUAUUAAUGCCAACAUACAAUUUAACCACAAUUGGGUUACACAUGUAAUUAAGUAGGUCAAGUUAUGUGUGAUCGGGUUCUGAAAAUCCUAAAAUACUAGUCUAACUACCCAUGGUGUCUUAUUCUUCAUGUGCAUAUCUUUUUUUCCAUUUCUUGUUAUUUUUCUUGCCUCUGUCCAACUACCUUGUGUGUUUCUUUUUCCACAUUAUUUUUAUGGAUUUUGGUCAUUAAAUGUGUUUCUCCUUCCACACUAUAUAUAUGUUUUUGCUUUUGAUAUGCUUAAUAAUAUUAGAAUGCUCUUACAUUUACAAUUAUAAUUAUUAGUUAAUAAUGAUUUUGAGCUUUUAUAUGUUUUUGUUAGUUGUAUCAUUCUAUGUGUAUUCUUUUUACUGAUCAUGAAUCUUACUCAAAUUCACGAUUCAAAAAAUAAAUCUUAGACUUUAUGAUUCACCAUAUGAAUCCUAAUUCAACUACUAAGACUUGGUCUAUCAAGUCAAAAGAUUGACCCAUAUUCUAUAAUCCUAAUUUGUCACUUCCACCCUAUCCUUAUUUUGAAGUGAAUUAGUCGGUCACUAGAAGGGGGAUGAAAAGUGACCCUUUACCGAUCUAGCUCUUUUUGCACUAGCACACUUUCUUAUGAACUUCUUUUCAAGCUUUUCAACUUUGAGAUUCAGAAAACUAGUAAGAGCAAUCUAUUCCUUUACGAGUACUUGGAUAUAAUGAUAUGACAAGUCACCAAGAAAACUUGUUCGUUACUACUUCAAAACCUACUAACAAAUGAUACAUAAUCUAUUAAUUGUAGUUCCUGGUUCUCACUUGGUUGCACUGACUUAAACAAUUUUAUAAAAACACCUUGAUCAAGGUUCAAUUUUAAGUUCAAAACAAGCUUUUGUAAAAAUAGAAUUAAGUGCACAACAAAAGUAAAUAAGAUGCAAUAAAGAGGGACACUGUAA